GUGGGGAAUUUUGGACAAUGGGGGCAACCCUGAUCCAGCCAUCCCGCGUGUGCGAUGAAGGCCUUCGGGUUGUAAAGCACUUUUGGCAGGAAAGAAAUCGCACGGGAUAAUACCUCGUGUGGAUGACGGUACCUGCAGAAUAAGCACCGGCUAACUACGUGCCAGCAGCCGCGGUAAUACGUAGGGUGCAAGCGUUAAUCGGAAUUACUGGGCGUAAAGCGUGCGCAGGCGGUUCGGAAAGAAAGAUGUGAAAUCCCAGGGCUUGACCUUGGAACUGCAUUUUUAACUACCGGGCUAGAGUGUGUCAGAGGGGGGUGGAAUUCCGCGUGUAGCAGUGAAAUGCGUAGAUAUGCGGAGGAACACCGAUGGCGAAGGCAGCCCCCUGGGAUAACACUGACGCUCAUGCACGAAAGCGUGGGGAGCAAACAGGAUUAGAUACCCGUGUAGUCC
rnacentral:rRNA from 1 species